GAUGAACGCUAGCGGCAGGCUUAAUACAUGCAAGUCGAGGGGCAGCAGGGGUGUAGCAAUACACUUGCUGGCGACCGGCAAACGGGUGCGGAACACGUACGCAACUUACCCUGAACUGGGGGAUAGCCCGGGGAAAUCCGGAUUAAUACCCCGUAACACUGUGAGGUGGCAUCACCUUAUAGUUAUAGCUCCGGUGGUUCAGGAUGGGCGUGCGGCUGAUUAGGUAGUUGGUUGGGGUAAUGGCCCACCAAGCCUACGAUCAGUAACUGGUGUGAGAGCACGACCAGUCACACGGGCACUGAGACACGGGCCCGACUCCUACGGGAGGCAGCAGUAAGGAAUAUUGGGCAAUGGAGGCAACUCUGACCCAGCCAUGCCGCGUGGAGGAUGAAGGCCCUCUGGGUUGUAAACUUCUUUUACCUGGGACGAAACCUUUCUUUUCUAAGGGAGUUGACGGUACCAGGGGAAUAAGCACCGGCUAACUCCGUGCCUGCAGCCGCCGUAACAC
rnacentral:rRNA from 1 species